rnacentral:lncRNA from 1 species
GUUUCAAUGAAGCUUCCCAUCACACAUCAAUCUUUCAAUAUCGAUGUUGCAAUAUAAUUGUUGCAACAUCGUUAAAGGUUGUAUGUGCUACCUUCUUUGAUGGGAGAGUUGUGGUUUCCCUUGAUAAUGGUAUGUGUUUUUGUUUUUGAUUUUUACUGAAGUUUUGUUAUAUGAGUUGUGACUAAAUUAUGAUUGUGAAUGAUCUGCUGCAGAUGAUGAUGAUGAUGAUUGUUCUACUGUUAUGAUGAUGAUGAUGAUGUAGAAGCUGUAG